GCCCUCAGAAGUUGGCAAAGAGGCUGACACAGGCCAAAAGGGGUGCCAGGGGUGCAGGACGGGAGGUGGGUGUGAGGCACAGGUAACCUUGACCUUGAGGAAGGGGCAGUGGUGGCCGUGAACCUGCGAAUCCACGGAGAAGAAUCAAGGCAGCCUGGCCCCAUAGCCCCUGUGACUAACCACAUCCCACGUGGCUCACAGGGCAGACACCAGAUGUCCAUGAGAGAGUGGACCAGAACCUUGUGAGGCGUGGGCCCGAUGGAGUACUAUGCAGCAGUGAAAAAGAAGGAACCACAGAGCCAUGUGCACAGAGUGGAUCCCACUCACAAAUACGCCUCCCAGCCAACAAGCAAGCUCUCCAAGAUACCUGCUGUACCACACGCCAUAUCCAAAGCGUCAGAGCCUGCAAAAGCGUAUUACAUAGGCGUUUGCCGCGUGCUGAAAUGCUUAAGAUGGACCUCCCUCUGCCAUGGGCAGGGGUACUGAUUGGCUUCAAAAACUCCUGGACAGCAGAUCGUGAGCGAUGGUUUUGGGUGCAGUCCCUCCCUCAGAACACCCUCCUCGACCCUGACAGGCCCGGCUUCCUCUGGGCACUGAG
rnacentral:lncRNA from 10 species